CGUCGAACGUGACCGACUGAAUGGGAACUAAUGUUAACAUAUUGCUCAUUGUUCACUAAUGCAAUACUUAAUUUUUUAUUGUAAAGUGUUAGUUCUAUAAAAAGUUUUAGGAAGAAAUUAAUAAAAAAGAUUGCAUAUGUCACUUGUCUUUAUAAUUUAUCCAACUAAGGACAUUCAAACACAAUGUUUAGUGUUUGAAUACAUUCUGUAUGAUGAUUAAAUCAUUCCAUAACCACAGUCUAAUAUCUUUUCAAGCUUUGACAAUGGUAGGAUUAUAUUAAUUAUAUGUGUUUCAUAUUCCAAAAUACAGAGCAGAUGACUCAGUUUAACCUGAAACUAGGCCUAUUUGUUCACCUCAUCUGCAGUUUGUUAUUGGCUGUUCUGAGUUUUUUUUAUAUACAACCAUAGAGCGAGAGAAUAAGUGUUGGCUGAAGACAGCAUUCUCCAGAUAAGCAGCAGUGAAAUAGGAUGCAUUGUCAUGGAUAUCCUGUCUCUGUCUCUCUGCUCCUGUCAUGACUCGAGGAGAGACACUCGAUCCACAUCCAGCAGGCACCAGCUAAGAUGUUUACAUGCUUUAGAAGUCCGCAGUGAGCGAGACGGUGGACCAGGGGGUCUUGAGCGUGCCGUGACAGUAAAUUAAACCAUCUGUCUGUCAUAACCAAGAUCUAAAGACCCCCUGCUUCCACAGGAUAUGAUGUAGAUUGUCUCUAAACUGGCUACAGUGGUAGCACUGUACACAGGAAGGCCAGAGAAACUGGACAACGGAGGCAGCAGUGUGUGUGGUCGUGACUCUCGCUGAAGCCAGAACAGAUUUGGAGAAAUUUAGAUCCAAUGGAUCCUCUGCAGUGAAUGGGUGCCUCCAGAAUGAUAAAAUCGCCGUGAUGCCAGUGUUCUGGACUUUGUGUUGGAGCAACUUAAUAAUCCCUACAUGAAGAACCCACAGGAUUUGGACAGAACAUUGGUAUCCGAACCAGAUGAAGCAGAACUUAGCCAAGACUCUCCAGGAGCUGAUACCUGCUGUGUCCUCAAACACAUGAGAUGAGAGUCUUGGAGGAGCAGAACCUUUGGCAAUGCCUUAUUGCUCAAGCUGGCAAAUAGACUGUGAAUCAGCAGAAGGCUUAAUUGUAUCCGUAAAGCCUCAGCAAAUGCAGAUCUGGCCCAAAU